GUGUGUGCGUGUGUGUGUAUGUGCUUGCGUACGUGUGUGUGUGUGUGCUUGCGUACGUGUGUGUGUGUGUGUGUGUGUGUGUGUGUAUGUUACCUUGAUGUCCACCAGCAUGCGUGGCGUGAGCUGUGGGGGGAUGACCACAGUGUAGCGCUCCUGGCAGGUGUGUGUGUGUGUGUGUGUGUGUGUGUGUGUGUGUGUGUGUGUGUGUGUGUGUGUGUGUGUGUGUGU